UACGUAGGAGGCAAGCGUUGUCCGGAUUUAUUGGGCGUAAAGAGCGUGUAGGCGGUUCGGUAGGUCCGUUGUGAAAACUCGAGGCUCAACCUCGAGACGCCGAUGGAAACCCCCGAACUAGAGUCCGGAAGAGGAGAGUGGAAUUCCUGGUGUAGCGGUGAAAUGCGCAGAUAUCAGGAGGAACACCGGUGGCGAAGGCGGGUCUCUGGGCCGAUACUGACGCUGAGGAGCGAAAGCGUGGGGAGCGAACAGG
rnacentral:rRNA from 1 species